rnacentral:ncRNA from 1 species
AAAAAAGCAAAGAAAAAGAGGAGUAUCUAUUUUCCAGCUUUCAGAGAGAAAAACAAAUGCUGUAAGUUUUUCAGUGUGGAAAUAGAGAAGGUAGCUUUGGAGCUUUUUUGCUGAAGCAAUAUUUGUGUGUAAGCAAAAACGGUUUGUCACGUUAUAGACUUUUGAGUGUCUGUUUUUGUUUUUUUUAAAACAGAAAAAAAGGUGGUACCACGAGCUUUCGUCCUUUAU